UACGAAGGGGGCUAGCGUUGCUCGGAAUCAGCUGGGCGUAAAAGGGCGCGUAGGCGGCGUUUUAAGUCGGGGGUGGAAAGCCUGUGGCUCAACCACAGAAUGGCCUCGAUACUGGGACGCUUGAGUAUGGUAGAGGUUGGUGGAACUGCGAGUGUAGAGGUGAAAUUCGUAGAUAUCGCAAGAACACCGGUGGCGAAGGCGGC
rnacentral:rRNA from 1 species